UACGUAGGGGGCAAGCGUUGUCCGGAUUUAUUGGGCGUAAAGAGCGUGUAGGCGGCCAGGUAGGUCUGCUGUGAAAACUCGAGGCUUAACCUCGAGCUGUCCGCGGAAACCAUCUGGCUAGAGUCCGGAAGAGGAGAAUGGAAUUCCAGGUGUAGCGGUGAAAUGCGUAGAUAUCUGGAAGAACACCGGUGGCGAAGGCGGUCAACUGGCCCUCAACUGACGCUGAGGCACGAAAGCGUGGGGAUCAAACAGG
rnacentral:rRNA from 1 species